ensembl:lncRNA
AUGACGGCAAGAGGGGGGUUUGUCAUUUCUGGAGUAGGAGGAGAUGAAGAAGAAAGACAAGCAGGAAGCUCUGGCUUAUCGGAACUUCGGGAGCUGAGCUUGCUAGAUUUCUCUACUCCCAAUUCACUCGGCAUGCUCGACAGCAGCAAUUCUCUAAUUGACCAACGGCAUGUGAAUGACAUGAUUGAAACAGUGGUUCCUCCGACCCCAGUCAACAGUGUGGUAGGUAGUCGCCCACCCAGCAGUUGCGGGGCCAGGUUCUUUCCAGAAGAUGUGGUUGAGAGGAUCAACGGCCUGCAGCACAAGGACAGUGUUUCAUCAUCGCUGUCAGAGACCUGGGAUGAACUCGGCUUUGACACACAAGGAGCAUCGUCGUCAAGUGAUAAUAACUGCUGGAAUAGGACCAGGGAAUCUGAGAGUCCUGGGAAUGUAGUGGAGCAGGUCAGAGGGCAAGAGUCUCAUUAUCAUAUUACACAGCAAGAAAGCAGAGAAGAACUCUUAAAGUCAGAGAAUGUCCACCAGAGGGCAAAGAUCCUAGAGCCCCAGCUUAGUCUGAUCACUGAGCAAACUAAAUCAUAUGACACCUGGAACCCAGACUCAAUAUGUAAGGAUCAAUGGAACCCCGCUACUUUGGCUUAUUUGCAAUUGACACCACCAGAGGAGGAAGUAACUGGAAAGUCUAAGGCUAGAAUCAAGGAGUCCUCGUUGUCGAGGAAGAGAGCAAUCAUAAACACUUUAACGCCAGACACAUCGAAAGAAGAGGAUGAAGGAGGAGAUGGGAAAAAAGCAGAUGGACAAAUGGAGCUCCUCGACUUCUGGACGUACUCGGCUCAGAAGGGAUUUCUCAAAUCAGAUAGCGGAACCACCACAUCUUACCCCGAAUCGCUAGAUAUGUGGAACAUGACAAUCCGAGAUGACAGUCUAUCACCUCUCACAACCCCCGACAACUUGUCUGGAACCUCGGGGUCUUUCUGUGGGAUGAACCUCGAUGUUGAGGCUGGAGCAUCUGUGGAAAGUCCGCAAGAAUUACCUGAUGGUGGAAUGGUGAUGUGGAACACCACCAUACAGGAAGACAGCUCCUCCACAAUAACAAGCCCCGAAAGACCUGAAAACGGAAAAGAGCUCAGUCAAAUGGGAUCAAUGGACGUAAGUGAUUCUCUUGAGACACAUGCAAGCAAACAGGUAGAGGAAGAGCAGCCCGGAGGAGAGGAGACGCCUCCAGCAGCAGGGUGGGGAGGUUAUGAACACAACGUGAGAAUAGUCAUAGAGGCGGCAGAGGGAGGAACACAUGGUGAAGAAACGGGUGACAACGACAUACAGUGUUUUCAAGGCCAACAGUCUGUCUUGCAGAACUUGGUAUCCGACCACUUAGAAGAGGUGAACUCCCCUUACCAGGGCGCUGACAUGGGGGGCCUACCGGUUCCCGGCAUGGUUGCCUCUACUUCAGAAUAUGACAAUGUAGGAGCUGGUACUUGGAGCCUGACAUCGUCCCCUGAGACGUAUGCAAGCCCGGUAGCAGACAUGUUACAGCUAGAGGAGCAGUAUAGCCCUUUUUUCGCUGUGACAAAACCAACUCAGAUAGACAAGGGUCACAAUCAAUACCAGAAGGAUGAUCCUCUGGGAAAGACUGAAGACAAAGAUAAAGAACAGCCAACCAACCAGAUCUUCCUAUUUGAUGGAAGUAGUGAGCUGGGUCACAUGAUCAGCAGUGGGGUAUGUUCAAUUGAGAGCAAUUACGAUAACAAACAUUCAGAGGAAGCUGAUUGGAUAGAGCAACUCAGUGAUCAUUCACCAUUUGUUCUGGUGGACAACUCUACUGUCACUCGGACCACUUCAGCCCAUCAUUGCUCUUCAAGUCUACGAGAAGCUGGUGAAGCUGAAAUCCAGCCGGACCAAUCUUUAUCCCCAAGCCUCAUUGAGUGGGGUGAUCCUGUCUCCAAUAAGCCUGUCCUGUCGUCGACAAUGGCCCACAAUGAAGACGUGCCUGUUCCUGAAAGCCACGGUGGUCCGGACGAUGAGAGAAGUAGAAAAGAGCCGUGUAAAACCUCAGAAACAAUGUCUCUCAACUCCAGCUCCGGAGGGGAUAGAGACACGCUGAAGUAUAGCCCCGACAGCCUUCAUCCAGCUAGUCGAGACGAACUCAGGUCCAAUUCUGAUGGAGAUUCAUCAUCAGGCCUAGAAAUGGAUUACAUCAUUGUGUCUGGCACAGUAAAAGAAACUGACAGGGAGUGGCACGGUAGGCCGAAACAGCCUGACAGGCAUUCAAAAGCUGCAAGAAAGUCCAUGGAGACGUUUAGCAUGCUUUCCUACGCUGCCACAGUGCUGCAAAGCCAGGCUCGGGUGGAAGAUGGAGAGCGCCAGGGGAACACAGAAAGAACGCGGAACGAAAUCAUCAGAAGUUCUGACAGUGUAAACAAAGUUACAGAGCACAGUCAAGCUGUUUCAUGUGCUCAUUACCAAUCACAAAAUAACUACGAAACUUUUCAACAGUCAGAUUCGAGCCCGGGUUGCAGUCAAACUCAGGUAAAAGAAGUAAACCUUGAGGAUGAAUCAAAAAUUGUGGCCAGAAGUGUGUCUCCAUCCUUAAGAUAUCCGUCAGAUCAUUUCCUGAAAACCAGAGAGGAGGUUUAUGUCCAUUCACAAAUCUCGAUGGAAGAUUCAGAUGAGGGUGGGCAAUCGCCCUCGGCACCUCCGUCUUUGGGUGACUUUCAAGUUUGGGAGGUUCAGUUAACGAGUCAGGACGCGCCGAUAACAUCUGAACCGCAAUCACCUGAACCGCAGUCACCUCAACUUACCCACAGCUCAGUCUCCCACACAAGCUCCUUCAUUGGCACCCCAUUAAGUAAUUCUGUUAUUUUUGCUGACAGAGAACUGGGAUUACCAUUUUCUGGAGAUUUGAUGGAAGAAAAGAACGAUGAGGAAGAGCAUGAAGAGGGAUCUGAUUCAGAGCGUAUUUCCCAUUCAAAAUGGACUUCAGAGAUACAAAGCGAUAGAGAAGAAAGGCAACCGUUAGGAUCCUCUGAUCUGCUAAGUUUCACUGAGCAGCUGAUAGAAGAUUCUUCAUUUCAACAACAGGAUUUGCAUUUACAAAUACUUGAGCCAAAGUGGGAUGGAUACUUACAGAAUACAGUGGAUUACUGUUAUGGACAACCUAUAAUGACUGCUGGUUAUGAUAAAUGGUCGACUGAACAACAGAUUGGAGACCAUGAAUCUUCACAAGACAGCUAUUCAACCCUCUUAAGGUAA